UACGUAGGGUGCAAGCGUUGUCCGGAAUUAUUGGGCGUAAAGAGCUCGUAGGCGGUUUGUUGCGUCGGCUGUGAAAUCCCGAGGCUCAACCUCGGGUCUGCAGUCGAUACGAGCAAACUAGAGUGUUGCAGGGGAGACUGGAAUUCCUGGUGUAGCGGUGAAAUGCGCAGAUAUCAGGGGGAACACCGGUGGCGAAGGCGGGUCUCUGGGCAACAACUGACGCUGAGGAGCGAAAGCGUGGGGAGCGAACAGG
rnacentral:rRNA from 1 species